UACGUAGGGUGCGAGCGUUAAUCGGAAUUACUGGGCGUAAAGCGUGCGCAGGCGGUUUUGUAAGCCAGAUGUGAAAGCCCCGGGCUCAACCUGGGAAUGGCAUUUGGGACUGCAAGGCUUGAGUGCGGCAGAGGAGACUGGAAUUCCUGGUGUAGCAGUGAAAUGCGUAGAUAUCAAGAGGAACACCAGUGGCGAAGGCGAGUCCCUGGACAACACCUGACACUGAGGCACGAAAGCUAGGGGAGCAAACAGG
rnacentral:rRNA from 1 species